rnacentral:rRNA from 1 species
CUACGGGCGGCUCCAGUGAGGAAUAUUGCACAAUGGGGGAAACCCUGAUGCAGCAACGCCGCGUGGAGGAUGACGCAUUUCGGUGUGUAAACUCCUUUUAUGAGUCAAGAAAAUGACGGUAGCUCAUGAAUAAGCACCGGCUAACUCCGUGCCAGCAGCCGCGGUAAUACGGAGGGUGCAAGCGUUACUCGGAAUCACUGGGCGUAAAGGACGCGUAGGCGGGAUGUCAAGUCAGGUGUGAAAUCCUAUGGCUCAACCAUAGAACUGCACUUGAAACUGGCAACCUAGAGUAUGGGAGGGGAAGAUGGAAUUAGUGGUGUAGGGGUAAUAUCCGUAGAUAUCACUAGGAAUACCGAAAGCGAAGGCGAUCUCCUGGAACAUUACUGACGCUAAGGCGUGAAAGCGUGGGGAGCAAACAGGAUUAGAUACCCGUGUAGUC